ACUGACAGCCAUGGUUACCGCGGCUGCUGGCACGGAGUUAGCCGGUGCUUCUUCUGUGAGUGAUGUCCUUCCUGCCGGUUAUUGACCCGCAGGCCUUCUUCCUCACUGAAAGUGCUUUACAACCGAAGGCCUUCUUCACACACGCGGCAUGGCUGGAUCAGGGUUGCCCCCAUUGUCCAAUAUUCCCCACUGCUGCCUCCCGUAGGAGUCUGGGCCGUGUCUCAGUCCCAGUGUGGCUGAUCAUCCUCUCAGACCAGCUACGGAUCGUCGCCUUGGUGAGCCGUUACCUCACCAACCAGCUAAUCCGACAUAGGCUCAUCCGAUAGCGCGAGGCCCGAAGGUCCCCCGCUUUCCCCCGAGGGCGUAUGCGGUAUUAGCCUGGGUUUCCCCAGGUUAUCCCCCA
rnacentral:rRNA from 1 species